AGACUGCAUGUGAAAUACAUAGUGUCUGCCUGGGACUUGGUAACCUCCCAAUAAACACCGUGAUGAUGAUGAUGAUGAUGAUGAUGAUGAAGCUGUUACAAUGACAAUUUUUCAUAGAAGAAACAACUGUACUCAGUAUGCCUUUUAGGAAGAAAAUGAGACUCAGCAAACAUUAACACUGAGUGUGAAAGGGGUUUCAGAUUUCAGAGAGACUUGAGAGGGGAGGGAGUGGCUAUGGGCUGAAAACAGCAGGGCCUGCUCAUCACUUUAUUUCCCUUGAGUGAUAGACCGGACGCAACCAGAGCGUGUGACCUCAAAGGUCGGCCUGGAGACAACAGCAUUGUUCAAAGAGAAUGUGAAAAAUAAUUUAGCUCAAGAAGAGAAUCAGAAAGGCACACAGGGGGCUGUUGCAUUUGGGUAUGAUCUGGGGGUGUAAUCAGAGCAAGCAGAAGCUCCGUUCCCUUUCCGACGCUGGAGAAAGCAUGAGUUCCCAGGGAUUUGAAGUCCUAGAAAGAAGUUGAGCUCUGCCACUCUGGCUUGUCGUUGAAUGUCACCCAGACAGAGCUAGAUGAUGACAUUUUAACAGACUUGACAACUGUGGAUUUGACUUAAAGGGGCGCUCAUCCCCCAGACUAUGGACCAGUACCAGCCCCUGGCCUGUUGGGAACUGGACCACACAGCAGGAGGUGAACGGUGGGUGAGUGAGAGAAACUGCAUGUGUAUUUACAGCCGCUCCCCAUCACUGCCAUCACCGCCUGAACUCUGCCUCUUGUCAGAUCAGCAGUCGCAUUAGAUUCUCACGGAGGAGCAGACCCUAUUGUGAACCAUGCACGUGGGGGAUCUGGGUUGCAGUCUUUUUUUGAGAAUCUAAUGCCUGAUGAUCUGUCACUGUCACCUGUCACUCCCAGAUGGGACUAUACCUGCAGGAAAAUAAA